UAAUGGAGAUCAAACAGGGCCUUAGUCUCUUGAACAAAUAAUCAAGCAAUUUCUGAUUCCUAACUCUCUGAAAAAAAAGAUGGUUCCGAAUCCACCUUCUCCUACCUCUUCUUCUCGAUCCUCGUCUUCUUCAUCGUGAUUCACCCGUGAAUUCAACAGAAAAAUCAACACACACAUGGCGCCGCCCAGUCUUGGCUUAAGAAAUCUCUCGAUAAGGCGCCAAAAUUAUUCAAAUCAUUUCUUAAGACCGCGAUCCAUUAUCCACGCCUGUCCAGCACUUCUCCACUGGAUUAUCCAUCCUUGCCUCCCAUUGGUUAAUGCACUUAUAUUCCUUAAUUCAGGUUUCUUUUCUUUUUCCCGAUUUCUCUUCUUCCUUUUUUAUGUUCCAAGAAAUCUACUGUCUGUGUUUUCCUGUGGGUUUUAAGGAGUUUAUCUAAACUUUCUUUAGCCUCUCAACUAGAGUUUCUUGGCUAACACAACAGGAUUAUAAGAAUUUAUUCUUUAGCAUUUCUUGGUUAUAUCAGGGACUCAUUGUUUCGCCCCAGGCCACAUUUUCAAUGUUAUCGGGGUAGAAUGCAUUUGGGGGUAACUUCAACAAGCAAGUUUGCAGAUCCAAUCAAGAACACAUUACUCCAGACUCAUGGCACAGUAUUUGCAAAUGUUUACAGAAAUUCAGCCCCCUGGAAAAGGUUUGUCUUCUCCAUGUCACGGCUGUUAAAAAACCCAGUAUUUUUGUUGGAGUUUUAACAGCAAAUAUUUGGCCAGAAAGCAGAUGAUGUAAAUAAGAUACUUCAUACAUCUACAUGUCCUUUUAUUAGUCAACAAAGUUUAAAUCAAAGAAAAUGAGAACUGCUUUCAGUUUAACUGUAUAUUCUAGCACAUUUAGGGAUCAUUUAUGUAAUAUGUGAU
rnacentral:lncRNA from 1 species